rfam:Cajanus cajan Scaffold132340_8, whole genome shotgun sequence.
UUGAACUUUGAUGAGCCCUACAGACCUGUAAUGAUUUGCAGGAAUGAUUGCAACCUUUAAUGAACAUCUAAGGGACUGAGUUAUG